rnacentral:rRNA from 1 species
AGGAGAGUUUGAUCCUGGCUCAGGAUGAACGCUGGCGGCGUGCCUAAUACAUGCAAGUCGAGCGAGAAUCAUUUGAACUGAGAUUCGUCAAAGCGAGAAUGAGGAAAGCGGCGGACGGGUGAGUAACGCGUAGGCAACCUGCCCUUAGCAGAGGGAUAGCCAUUGGAAACGAUGAUUAAAACCUCAUAAUGCUGGAGAGUCACAUGUCUUUUCAGCCAAAGAUUUAUCGGCUAAGGAUGGGCCUGCGUCUGAUUAACUAGUUGGUGAGGUAACGGCCCACCAAGGUGACGAUCAGUAGCCGACCUGAGAGGGUGAUCGGCCACAUUGGAACUGAGACACGGUCCAAACUUCUACGGAAGGCAGCAGUAAGGAAUCUUGCACAAUGGGGGAAACCCUGAUGCAGCAACGCCGCGUGAACGAUGAAGGCCUUAGGGUUGUAAAGUUCUGAUCUGUGGGAAGAAGAAAGUGACGGUACCACAGGAGAAAGCCCCGGCUAAAUACGUGCCAGCAGCCGCGGUAAUACGUAUGGGGCAAGCGUUAUCCGGAAUUAUUGGGCGUAAAGAGUGCGUAGGUGGUUACCUAAGCGCAAGGUUUAAUCUUGAGGCUCAACCUCAUUCUGCCUUGCGAACUGGGCUACUUGAGUGCUGGAGGGGAAAGCGGAAUUCCCAGUGUAGCGGUGAAAUGCGUAGAUAUUGGGAAGAACACCGGUGGCGAAGGCGGCUUUCUGGACAGUAACUGACACUGAGGCACGAAAGCGUGGGGAGCAAACAGGAUUAGAUACCCUGGUAGUCCCCU